GCCGGCUUAGCUCAGCAGGUAGAGCGCAUCCUCGGUAAGGAUGAGGUCUCCGGUUCGAUUCCGGAAGCCGGCUCCA
rnacentral:tRNA from 1 species